AGAACCUGCUAAUUCACGAGCUUCUGAACUCCUGCCAGUUCCCAGCUUCCGAUGCUCUGGUCCGAAAAAACGUCCUACGUGGGAAUCCGGAGUUACAACCGCCAAGUGGCACCGUGGACCAGGGCAACCUCUACUGCAUGACAAUCGGUGCUUAAAAAUUAGCCAAUGGCCAAACCCAGAAUACACGCUGAAAUAUUUGGGGGUGAAAUGAUGUGAUCUCUGGGAUUAGUGUCGGAAUAAUCCAGAUGGGGAAAGAAAGGAGGAAGGGCCUACCUGAAAUAAGUUCUAGGGAUUUCCCUGGUGGUCCAGUGGUUAAGACUCCACGCUCCCAAUGCAGGAGGCCUGGGUUCCAUCCCCGGUCAGGGAACUAGAUGCCUCCUGCCACAGCUAAGAUCCCGGAUGCCGCGACUGAAAGAUCCCGCAUGCCGCAAAUAAGACCCAGCA